ACGGUACUGUAGGAAUAAGGAUCGGCUAACUCCGUGCCAGCAGCCGCGGUAAUACGGAGGAUCCAAGCGUUAUCCGGAAUCAUUGGGUUUAAAGGGUCUGUAGGCGGUCUAAUAAGUCAGUGGUGAAAUCUGGUCGCUCAACGAUCAAACGGCCAUUGAUACUGUUAGACUUGAAUUAGUGUGAAGUAACUAGAAUAUGUAGUGUAGCGGUGAAAUGCUUAGAUAUUACAUGGAAUACCAAUUGCGAAGGCAGGUUACUAACACUAUAUUGACGCUGAUAGACGAAAGCGUGGGUAGCGAACAGGAUUAGAUACCCUGGUAGUCCACGCCGUAAACGAUGGAUACUAGCUGUUUGGAGCAAUCUGAGUGGCUAAGCGAAAGUGAUAAGUAUCCCACCUGGGGAGUACGCACGCAAGUGUGAAACUCAAAGGAAUUGACGGGGGCCCGCACAAGCGGUGGAGCAUGUGGUUUAAUUCGAUGAUACGCGAGGAACCUUACCAAGGCUUAAAUGGGAGACGACGUAUUUGGAAACAGAUAUUUCUUCGG
rnacentral:rRNA from 1 species